CCGGCCGUCCCGAAACUUGGAGGGUGCAAGGCCGGGUUCCUGCUCUGCGUGCACUGCCUGGUGUGUGUGACCUUGGGCCUCUCUGAGCCUCAGUUUUCCUCUCCGUAAAAUAAGUAUAAUAAUUUCGAGAGCUUCGCGGGUUCCCUGGGGAUAUAAAGGUACUGUUUGUGAAAACACUGGGUAAACUGCCACAUGCCACACAAGUGGCAGCGAAAUAGAUAACCCCAUAACAGAAAGAGGGAUGACUAGGCUGGGGGUGGGAGGACCUUCGCCAAGGUCCCUGAUGGGAGAAGUUAGUCACACAUGCCCUAAGUCCCACCUUGGGAGGUAGAAGACCCCAAGACAACCGGGCGAUGCGAACUGCAAGAAGACUUUCUGAGCCCCGCAAUCCUGCGGUCCGCGGUCCCACACGUUGCUAUGGCGACGGGAGGCAGCGGCCGUCUCUCUCCAUGGCAACGGGAGGGGAAAGUUUCUGGCAACAGGAAUGGGGGGGCAUUUCAAGAGGGCUCCCGGUUGCCGCCGACCCACCUCCCCGCUUCGAUUCAGCCUCCACACUCGGCAGGCGGUUCUGCAGCGUCUCUGAGCCCGGCAGCAACUCCGGACCUGGCAUUUCUCAACCUAGCAGUCCAUGUCUGGAGCAUCCUGAAUCUGCACACCCUGGCCACUCCCCCACACCUCCACCCCCAGCCAGACUGCUCGGAAGCAGGGAGAGGGGCUGGGGGUGGGUGGGAGGCAGAAUAAGAGGAGGUUUGAGGCAGAAACCAGAGGCCUCCCACUCUUAUGCCCUCCUUUCCUCAGAAAUAACCAAAGUGCCCGUCCCCUGCCCCCACCCCAAGUCUCUGCCCUUGAGCAGGCUCCCACCCUGUUCUGAACAGCAAUGUCCUGUUCAUUUAUGCUACAAAUAAAAUGAAUUAAAAUCAAACAAUACUUUUUUUUAAAAAUUGAACCUUGGUAGGAAAUUGCUAAU